rnacentral:rRNA from 1 species
GAUAUGAUUGAACCUUCGGGUGAGAGAUUAAUUGGAAAGCGGCGGACGGGUGAGUAACGCGUGGGUAACCUACCCUGUACAGAGGAAUAGCCAUUGGAAACGAUGAUUAAUGCCUCAUAAGACUACACUACCGCAUGGUAGAGUAGUAAAAACUCCGGUGGUACAGGAUGGACCCGCGUUAGAUUAGCUAGUUGGUGAGGUAAUGGCUCACCAAGGCAACGAUCUAUAGCCGACCUGAGAGGGUGAUCGGCCACACUGGAACUGAGACACGGUCCAGACUCCUACGGGAGGCAGCAGUGGGAAUAUUGCACAAUGGGCGAAAGCCUGAUGCAGCAACGCCGCGUGAGUGAUGAAGGCCUUCGGGUCGUAAAACUCUUUUCUUGGGGAAGAAUAAUGACGGUACCCAAGGAAUAAGCCCCGGCUAAUUACGUGCCAGCAGCCGCGGUAAUACGUAAGGGGCAAGCGUUAUCCGGAAUCACUGGGCGUAAAGGGUGCGUAGGUGGUCUUUUAAGUCAGAAGUGAAAGGCAUUGGCUCAACCAAUGUAAGCUUUUGAAACUGAAAGACUUGAGUGCAGGAGAGGUAAGUGGAAUUCCUAGUGUAGCGGUGAAAUGCGUAGAUAUUAGGAGGAACACCAGUGGCGAAGGCGACUUACUGGACUGUUACUGACACUGAGGCACGAAAGCGUGGGGAGCGAGCAGGA